GGAUUAAAACAAACAUUCAUGUUAAUUGGUUUUAACUAAGUAAGCGUGACUUAUCACUUUUAUUCAAAGAAAGAACUUUUUACGUUGUGGAAAUGGAUAUUCCAUGGAAAAUUAUUAUAAACUUUUUUCUUUUUUUUAUUAUGUUUUUACUUUUUACGUAUAUUUUAAACAAAUCGAAUUAUACUUUAAAUCUCAAACAACCUCCGUACAUGUCAUCACGAUUAUCCCAAUGAUGAUGCCAGAUAUGAAGCUUGUAUGCAAAAUAACGAACAGAUGAGCUUUUGCAAAUUAGGUCUUGUUAUACCCGAAAGUUAAAUUAUCGCAUAAUCGUUAUAAUAGUUUUUUCAAGACACAUGUUACGUCAUGGCAAAUCUCACGACACGAUGUUGUGGUGCUUCAUUAGAGUAAAAUUUUAUCAAUGGUACAAAAGAAUACUCAUAACAGUAGAAAAAAUUAAUUGUUGAAGUUUUCUCCAAAAAACUAUGCAAAGAGUUAAAUCAGUUUAAAGCAAAAGUUUAUGUUAGUUACCAGGUUACCAGGUUAUCAGGUUACCAGGUUACCAGGUUACCAGGACAAAAAGCAAAAAAUUUUACAGCAGUAAUAAAAUUUGUGCGAUGAUUAAA